GGCAGGAUUGUAAACAGAGCAGUAUUUCAAGGCAACACGGUUGGAAAAGGCAUCUCGAACAACAUCACAGCUAAGGAAGGAGUGCAGGUUGUGAACGAAGCGCAAUUCCAACAGAACAAAGGUGCAGGAGACAUUACAAACAACAUAGCAGGAACUUAUAAUAUUGAAAACGGUCCAAGCUUUCUUGAGAAUGAAGUGGAUGGUGCUCUGACCAAUAAUUUACCAGAGUGAUUAUUAGUCUGCAUGAAUGGAACCAAUGGCGGGCAAGGAAAAUCCUAAAAAAUAUUCGUUUGCUAUAUCAGCAUCUGGGGGGGCGACUGUUAAUCAUCCUAUUCUUCUUGGCAACCGGGUGGGAGGAGAUGUUCAAUGCCCAGUGAAAACUAAUAAACAACAGACCACAGGCAGCAAAGACAGAGGGCAAGCCGGCCUCCAAACAACCUCUAGUA